rnacentral:lncRNA from 1 species
GUCCGUUCGUCCGUCUGUCCCGCUUCAGGUUAAAGUUUUUGGUCGAGGUAGUUUUUGAUGAAGUUGAAGUCCAAUCGACUUCAAACUUGGUACACAUGUUCCCUAUGAUAUGAUCUUUCUAAUUUUAAUGCCAAAUUAGAGAUUUUACCCCAAUUUCACGGUCCACUGAACAUAGAAAAUGAAAGUGCAUGUUUCAGGUUAAAGUUUUUCAGGUUGAAGUUUUUGGUCAAGGUAGUUUUUGAUGAAGUUGAAGUCCAAUCAACUUGAAAUUUAGUACACAUGUUCCUUAUGAUAUGAUCUUUCUAAUUUUAAAGCCAAAUUAAACUUUUGACCCCAAUUUCACGGUCCACUGAACAUAGAAAAUGAAAGUGCAUGUUUCAGGUUAAAGUUUUUGGUCAAGGUAGUUUUUGAUGAAGUUGAAGUCCAAUCAACUUGAAACUUAGUACACAUGUUCCUUAUGAUAUGAUCUUUCUAAUUUUAAAGCCAAAUUAAACUUUUGACCCCAAUUUCACGGUCCACUGAACAUAGAAAAUGAAAGUGCAUGUUUCAGGUUAAAGUUUUUCAGGUUAAAGUUUUUGGUCAAGGUAGUUUUUGAUGAAGUUGAAGUCCAAUCAACUUGAAACUUAGUACACAUGUUCCUUAUGAUAUAUGAUCUUUCUAAUUUUAAAGCCAAAUUAAACUUUUGACCCCAAUUUCACGGUCCACUGAACAUAGAAAAUGAAAGUGCAUGUUUCAGGUUAAAGUUUUUUCAGGUUAAAGUUUUUGGUCAAGGUAGUUUUUGAUGAAGUUGAAGUCCAAUCAACUUGAAACGUAGUACACAUGUUCCUUAUGAUAUGAUCUUUCUAAUUUUAAAGCCAAAUUAAACUUUUGACCCCAAUUUCACGGUCCACUGAACAUAGAAAAUGAAAGUGCAUGUUUCAGGUUAAAGUUUUUGGUCAAGGUAGUUUUUGAUGAAGUUGAAGUCCAAUCAACUUGAAACUUAGUACACAUGUUCCCUAUGAUAUUAUCUUUCUAAUUUUAAUGCCUAAUUAUAUUUUUUAUCCAAUUUCAUGGUCCAUUGAACAUGGAAAAUGAUAGUGUGAGUGGGGCAUCCGUGUACUUUGGACACAUUCUUGUUAUAAUGUAAAUCGACUGUAAUGUCCAAAAGAACAAUAAUACAGCAUAGCUGUUAAAUAUACAGUGGCGGAUCCAGCCAUUUUAAAAAAAGGGGGGGGAGGUUCCAACUAUAUGUUCCCAUUCAAAUGCAUUGAUCGGUCAAACACACCCCCUGGAUCCACCACUGAUAUAUCAAUGUAGAUAAAUGUACAAGUGCUUCAAAAUGUUAAUAAUGGUCAAUUUUGUACUUAUGAAGUUAGACUUAAAAAAUGGAUAAUGUAUUAUAUGUUUCUUCAUUUUUAUACUGAAUGUCCAAUAUGUAAAUAGUAUUUGUGAAUAUGUCAUAUUUAUAUGUCAACAGCAUUUAGGAGGGUUCGGAUGGUGGUACUUUAUUUCUUUAUUAAUACAGUAUUCCUUAUAUGCCCGGCCCCCAUUUAUGGGCAUCAUGUCUUCUGGUCUGUGCGUCCGCCCGUUUGUUGUACCGUUCGUCCGUCUGUCCCGCUUCAGGUUAAAGUUUUUGGUCGAGGUAGUUUUUGAUGAAGUUGAAGUCCAAUCAACUUGAAACUUAGUACACAUGUUCCCUAUGAUAUGAUAUUUCUAAUUUUAAUGCCAAAUUAGAGAUUUCCCCCCAUGUUCAUGGUCCACUGAACAAAGAAUAUGAUAGUGGGGAUGGGGCAUCCGUGUACUGGGGACACAUUCUUGUUCUCUAUGCUUUAUUUUUUUUGCCCAUUGUUCCCUAUUAUUUAUAUUUUAGCACCCCAUUAUUCUCUAUUCUUGAUUUUUUUAUGCCCCACAUAGGGGCAUUAUGUUUUCUGGUCUGUGCGUCCGUUCGUCCGUUCGUUCGUCCGUUCGUUCGUCCGUUCGUUCGUCCGUCUGUCCCGCUUCAGGUUAAAGUUUUUGGUCGAGGUAGUUUUUGAUGAAGUUGAAGUCCAAUCGACUUCAAACUUGGUACACAUGUUCCCUAUGAUAUGAUCUUUCUAAUUUUAAAGCCAAAUUAAACUUUUGACCCCAAUUUCACGGUCCACUUGAACAUAGAAAAUGAAAGUGCAUGUUUAAAGGUUUUUCAGGUUAAAGUUUUUGGUCAAGGUAGUUUUUGAUGAAGUUGAAGUCCAAUCAACUUGAAACUUAGUACACAUGUUCCUUAUGAUAUGAUCUUUCUAAUUUUAAAGCCAAAUUAAACUUUUGACCCCAAUUUCACGGUCCACUGAACAUAGAAAAUGAAAGUGCAUGUUUCA